AACCCUUUAAUCUUUUGCUAAAAUCAAUGCAUGCAUGUCAAUAGAGGAAAGUUUCGGAAAAACACAUCAGCUUUUUAAACAUAUUUUAUUAUAUACUAUCUUGUCCAUGAUUUAUUUGGCAAGCAACAUGUUCACUUCAACAUGAGACUGAUGAUGGCAUUGUCAGGUCGUUGUGUUGAUACUGUACAGAUUCCCACAGAGGUGCGGACAUUGUCAGAUAGUGACGGUAUUCUGUGACAUCUAAGUGUUAGGACGAUACAACGAUGUUGUAGUAAUCACAGCACUAAAAGCAGCGAAUGAAACGCAUCCUGUUUUACAACUGCGGCAGUGUUCAUGACGGUAUUCAUAAAAGCGUAUUUAAAAGCAUGCAGUAGAAAUCUACCUAUUCAACAACCACCGAAUGAAAGAUAUAAAAAGUAAGAAAACCAGAGCUGGGUACUCUCAAGAAUGUUCAUUCAUGCAUAAAGGCAGUGAGACUUUGGCAGUGUUGUGCUGCCCUCUGUAGUCACUACCAGACAUUGGCUACUAAGAGGGAGAGGAAAGACUGGAAGCUUGUGAUUGAACACAACUGAUUCCUGCUUUCUCGUUCCGGUUUCUUUAGAAAUUAUCAUACACGAAGAGCCAAAGGCUUAAACAUCGUUCCUACAGGAGGCACACUUUAAACUUGAAGUCAUUCUCAAUCGAUUUCAUGCAGCCCUUGAUUAUCUUGUCAGCAAAGACAAAAAGAACAGGGGAGGAACUGUGAGGCAAACAUGAGAAAUCCUCUACGGCACAUUGUUAAUAAUAUACUUAUCACAAUAGUUUCGGAGGCUUUGAAUCUCACACAACAAUGCACUUUUCUGACGCAUAUGAUAUUAACAUAUAUGUGACAUUCAUUUGUUUCUCUGUUGUUUCUUUUAAGAGAACGAUCCGAAUAGCUUUAUACGCUACUUACAAUCGGAGUUAGUUCUGGUUCAGAUCCUCUGUACGUGACCAGUGCAGUUUUCAGACAGGAAGCUCUCUUCUUGUAAAUGUGCGUUAAUAGUUGUUUGCAUUCGCUAUGUAAGGCUAAUCACAGUCUCCAGCAGCCAAACACGAGAUGUUAUGAUUUCUCUAUAGCCUAUGUUAGAGGUGUAACGGCACACAAAUAUCAAGGUUCGGUAUGUACCUCGGUUUUGAAGACAUGAUGUCAUGAGGAAAUUUACUUAAAUUAAA